rnacentral:rRNA from 1 species
AUACGGAGGGGGCAAGCGUUGUUCGGAAUUACUGGGCGUAAAGCGCGCGUAGGCGGGCUGGUUAGUUGGGGGUGAAAUCCCAGGGCUUAACCCUGGAACUGCCUCCAAUACUGCCAGUCUAGAGUUCGUGAGAGGUGAGUGGAAUUCCUAGUGUCGCGGUGAAAUUCGUAGAUAUUGGGAAGAACACCAGUGGCGAAGGCGGCCAUCUGGCUCGGUACUGACGCUGAGGCGCGAAAGCGUGGGGAGCAAACAGGAUUAGAAACCCGAGUAGUCC